CAGUCGCCGCGGGAAUACGUAGGGGGCAAGCGUUGUCCGGAAUUAUUGGGCGUAAAGCGCGCGCAGGCGGUCAUUUAAGUCUGGUGUUUAAUCCCGGGGCUCAACCCCGGAUCGCACUGGAAACUGGGUGACUUGAGUGCAGAAGAGGAGAGUGGAAUUCCACGUGUAGCGGUGAAAUGCGUAGAUAUGUGGAGGAACACCAGUGGCGAAGGCGACUCUCUGGGCUGUAACUGACGCUGAGGCGCGAAAGCGUGGGGAGCAAACAGGAUUAGAUACCCCAGUAGUCCCUGUCUCUUAUACA
rnacentral:rRNA from 1 species